UAUAAUGCCCUGUAAAGAAACUGUUGUGUUUGCAUAGGUGUAUAAAUUAUAGAGAAAAGAAGUUAAUUUUAUGAAAAACUAACUUUAUUAUUUAAUUAAAUCAAAUAAACCACUAUAUUAUCGUGUGCCAUACUCUUCUCUAAAUGCUUUACAAAUAUUAACUAAUCUAAUUAACCCCAUGAGUUCGACACUCUUAAAUAUACAUCUUACACAUGAACAUAUGAAAGUACUGAGAGGUUAAGUAACAUCCUCAAGGUAUCAAAACUAGCAAGUGGCAGAGCCCUCUUGGGUUCCGUUAUGAAUAGAUUAUCCGAUAAUCUAGCCAAACAUUACUCCCUUCUCAAUUUCUUUCAUAAUGUUAAUAUAUUGUGCAUCAUGGGGCCAUGGCAAUGUCUCAGUGCAAAGAUUAUGAGUAGAUUCUCCUUUACUCAAAACUUUGAUUUGCCUAGACAAGGCUCUUUUACUUUUUGGCUUCAGAACUACUCAAUUUGGGGGCAUAUGACAUUGCUAAAGAAAAAUUACCCAAUGAUACUUGCUAAACUAUGGUAAGGGAGACUUCAUUCAGGACCAUGGGAAUAGGUAUAGGGACCACUGCAAUAGGGUCUUGAAGUUGGGGAGUGUGAGUUCAACUCUCAAUAUAGUGUGGACAAGUGAGAAUUUAUAGACAAGGUGCAGAUUCGGGGAUCAGUGGAUGGACAAAUACUAAGAGGAAACUUCAAGGAUAAGGGGGAUUCUGGUUAAACUGACCUAACAGGAUUUUUGCUGAAGACAGGCUAGAGUGAUCAGACAUUACUUGGGGGAUGGUGGAUGAUGAAGAACCUGAUUAGACAUUGAAGAUGAUCAUAUAUCAAGGAUGGGACUCUGGGAUUCUUACUAAACUAACUUACCAAGAUUCUUUGCUAAAACUGAAUUUUACAAGGAAGUACAGAGAUGGGCCUAGGAGAAGUUUCCGAAGACUGACUAGCGUAUGGCCAGGCAAAUAAUCUUUGUUGAUGUUUAAUUAAAAUGCCAGACUAUUUUCUAUGAUAGGUCUUAUCACAAAUGUACUCUGCACUCCUUUUAUAUAUUAUCAUUUUGCACUCAACUUGGGCCAGUGACCAGCCUUGGCAGGAGAAAAGGGUUGAGUUCCUGGCGGAGGUUCACGUGACCUCUGCUUUCCUCUGCAGACCCACCAGGCACUUUGCUAGCACAUCUACAAAUAGAGCCCUCUCCUUCCUCUUUCAUUUAGAGCUCGCCAGCCUUUCAUAAGCUUUCCUUUUCUCAGGCCUUAAGAAUCUCCCAGAUUUCUUUGAUUGCUAGUCCUUUUCUGAGAGUCGCUUCUCCACCUCUUCCUGCCUUUUGUCUUUCCUUUUCUGUUUUUUUUUUCUUUUCAUCUCUUUCCUCACUACCCUUCACACAGAGACUCAAAGCUUGCCCCACCACUUGGCCCAUUGCCAACUUAGCAGUUCUCAGUAAUACACUGUAGCUCUCCAGACUGUUUGGUUCAACUGCUUUAUUUACAUAUAUAUAUUUCACGCCCCCGACACCACCUCCCCCCUUGGGAGAGCCCUUUGUGGUGAGAAAAGUCAAGUUUAUUUUUGUAAAGGGUUAAUGUUUCACAACCUUCUUGGUAAUAUAAGAUUUGUGUCAAACACUUUAACUCAUACAGAUUCUGUAUUUCCUUGGCAGGGAGAAAAUGUAUAAAAUAACAAAGGUAUCCUAUCCUAUUCCUCAUAAUAAACACAACAUAAAAAUCAUAUAGUAAAUCACAACAAAAUUAUACAGAGAGAAAGCGAGAAACUUCAUACUAAUUUGGUAUUAAAAUUAUAGAUUAACCUUAAGGAAAAUUAACCUGAAUUUCUGAAUGCCUAUAGUCUAAUGAGAAAAAGGUCUGACACCUUUUAAAUUUUUCCAUAUAGUCUCACCUUUUAUAUAUUUUUAACACUAAAAUACCUCUGGAUAAAAAUACACAUGCAUUCUAUUUAUAUAAAGUAUUUUUUCCCUUUAAUUAAUUCUUGCAAUCUACAAUGAUAGGCAAGUCAGGUAUAAUUUUUCUCUUUGUUAUUGCACUCAGACACUCAUGCAAAAAUAGUAAAAUGUUUUAUUUUUAUUUUUUUUACUUUACUGAAAUUGGUGGCUUACAUCAUACUGAGGGGCCCACAUGAAUAUUUGUUUUUAAAUUAGGACCAUAUUCUCAAUUCGCUACACAAUAAAGGGAUUAUACAUUUAAAAGAACUGUAUGCAAUCAAGAAGAAAUUUUAAUUAAUCACAAAUAGAACUGGCCCAAUGGAAAUAAUUUGACCCGACAGUUUGAGGUUUGAUCAGCACAACACAGAGAUUAAGAAGACUUUUGACCUGAACAGAGUCGGAGUUGGUUCAAGUCUGGAACUUUAGAAAGGGAACACUAAUGGGUUCAAAUCACACAAUAUCAUUGUUUCCCAUAAUGCUACCAUCCCAUUAGCAACCAGUGAGAAACUUGCUUAGUUUUCUGUAGAAACCAUCCAGUAGCAUAUAUAGCUCUGGUCCACAAUGAAGCAACAGAGAUUAUGCCACAACAAACUAUACUCUUUCUCUCAUGUUCUCUAUAUGCAAAAACUGAGCCAGCUGCUUUGAAGCACUAAUUGACUGUCGGUAUCAAUUAGGGGCCUGACUGCUUUCUAACUUACAUUUAUGUCUCCACAGUAACCACAUUGGUAUUUGGGGGAGAUUGGGGGUACUUACUGAAAAGUCCUUAAAUAUGUACAACAUAAAAGAAUAACUGAGGUUUUGGAAAAGCUAGUUAGAACAGGGCCCAGCAACUCUUAGUUUUUUAACAGCAUCUUUGUGUUGAAAGCUGAAAGUUUUACUAAAAUGGAAUUCUUUAUUAGAGUAGCAAUAUCAAUAUAUAAAUAAAUGGAUUAUACAGCAAAAAUACCAGCCCAAGAGAAAGAAAAAACUUAAAAAAUAGGAGCACGGAGAGUGAAGAACUCCAAUGAUGACUUCUGUCGUAAGAACAAUAGAUAAAAAAACAUGACGUAGAGUAAAAGGCAGAAUAUGUGGUGGGAAGAAUUUGACUCUAAUGCUAGAGAAACACAAGUUUGCUUCUUGCUUGCCACUUGCUAGCUGGUAUAACUUUUAGAAACUGAGUCCCAGUUUUCUCGUAUGUUAAACUGAGAUAUUGAUGUCACCUUUGCAGGUAUGUUGGGGGAAAUUAAAUCAACUAAAGCUUAUAGGAGACAAUGAGUCAUUUCUGGUACAUAGUAGGUGCUCUGUAAAUAUCAGGUAUUAUCAUCAUCAUCAUGAUGUCAGGGCCUGGAAAAGAGAAAAUGCAAGUAUAAUAUAAAUAAUGCCUAACAUUGAAAAUAAACAAAAAAAUCCAUCACUUUGAAAAAAAAAAUGGUAGACUUAUUCUGUUACCUCGAAUACCAAACUAAAUCCAUUGCAUUGAAUUACGAUGAGAAAUUUAAUUUCAUAAGAGCAAGUACUUUUCUAACAAUUAGAACAGCAUGGAAUCUGAAAUUAACCUGAUUGUGGAUAACCACCUAUCAGAUUGUUAGAGAUAGGAUGAUGCCUAUAUUGAGAUAAAAUGGACCUAGAGUUUUUAUUAAGUAAGAUAUUUUAUAAUUAUAGUAUUUCUCACUAAAAAGAAAUCUAUGGAUUGGUGGGCUUCCUGAAAUUAUUACAGGAUAAAUAUUAAUAAUUAGAAAGUUCACGGCUAUAUUAUGAUGACAGAAAAUAUAACACUAAUCUAUAAGAAAUGAAAUUGGUAUAGAAUUACAGUAAACAGGGAUUAAAAUAUCUUGGAUACUUACUAUUAUAGUUUGAUAUUCUGGAAUUGUACAUGAUAUACAUCAAGGAAUAGUAGCAAUUAAACAUUGAGCCAUCAAAAUGAUGAACAAAUAACAAUUAAACAUAGAGUUUAUAUAGUUUCCAGAUUACUAAAAUGAAAGGAGUACUGAAAUUUUUCUUAAAGCAAAUUGUGGCCCUUGAACAUUGGUCAGUAACAAUUUUCAUGUUACAUUAUUAGAGUUUUGGAAAAGAUCGUUCUUUAGAAAAUCUAUAAAUGAUGCAACAAUAUGUUUAUUGUAAACAAGAAAAAUACAUAAUAAUUGCAUUCACUCUAAGACUAAUUAAAAACUUGUGUGAUAAGCCUGUUUAAUAAAACUUUACAUAAUCAGAAACAAGAUAUUCUGUUCUUGCACUGCUAUGAAGAAAUACCUGAGACUGGGUAAUUUGUAAAGAAAAGAGAUUUAAUUGGUGCAUGGUUCCACAGGCUAUAUGGGAAGCAUGUCUGGGGUGGCCUCUGGAAACAUACAAUCAUGGUGGAAGGCAAAUGGGAAGCAGGCACAUCUUCACAUGGCUAAAGCAGGAGCUAAAGAGAGAGAUGAGAUGGCAAACGUGCUACACACUUUUAAACAACCAGAUCUUGUGAGCACCUACUUACUAUCACUAGAGCAGCACCAAGGGGGAAAUCCAACCCCCAUGAUCCUAUCACCUUCCACCAGGCCCUACUUCCAACACUGGGGAUUACAAUUGACAUGAGAUUUGGGUGGGAACACAGAUCCAAAAACAAACCGUAUCACAAGAUGUUUUUGAUCCUGUUGGUAGGAAACAACCACAAGAUAUCAGUGCAGAUUAUUUCUUCACUUCAGAGAGAACACUUCAUUUUAGGGUUCUGAAAUUAAGCAUGCCAUUUUCAUAUAACAAAUGCACAAGUAAAAAUGUACCCUGAGCCAUCAAUGAUUCAAUCAUUAAUGAUUCAAUCAAUGAGUCAAUCAUUUACUGAUGAUUAUGAAAACAAGAGGUAGGAUGUUUUAAUAUAUGGAGCAUAAGACUAAGUGGUAAAAAAUAGGUUCUAGUCAUGAUUCUGACACUCUUUAGGUCUGACAUUGGGAAAAUCACUUAAACUCUUUGAUUGCAAUUUCUUCAUUCAUUAAAUUAUAGCAUUGGGCAGUAUAAUCCUUAAGGUCUUCUCAGAUUAGAAAUUUUUCUAAUCUCAGAUGAAUAAAUCUUUGAUUACAAUCCAUUAUCCUAACUAGGACCAACUGUUAUUAAUUGUAAUAUAUUUGUACAGAGAUAUGUAAUUUAUUAGAACUCCUACUGAAAAUUAAUUCCUAACUUCAAAAAUGUUAUAUUGUGUUUCCCUGACAAAUCCAUGGGUAGGAGAUCAGAGCUUGGAAACGAUUUCUCUUUUGAAUCAAAAGCUUUAGGUUUCUAUAACUCACGUAUUUUAGUUAGAAAAUUGGUGAAGCCAAAUCUCCACUCUGAUUUCCUGGGCUUUGCCAAAAGGAUAAAGAGAUUCACUGGGCAAGUUGGUAGUGUCUUUCCCCCAGGACUGCUAUAAAGCAUCAUGGUCUUUGCUAUGUAACUUCUCCUGAACCUUUCUUUAAAAUACAGAGUCUACUGACUUCCUUAAGUUUAAGGUCAACGUUACUCACUGAAGCAACUCCAGAUCUGAAGAGAGUUUCCAAAAUGCAAAAGUUUAUCUGGGAGAAGAUAGAUAUUUUUCAACAUAAUUUAAACAUUACCUCUAUGUUGUUCAAGACUGUGAUAUAUUGAUUUCCUCAUUGUACUUUUUUGUUUAUGGAUAAUAGAGUCAUUGAGAGAAAGUAUUCCUAAACAAAGAGAAAAUAAAUGGCAAUGCAAAAUAGCAUAGGAAAACUUAUUGGUAUUUUAUAGUUGAAAGAUAUCUUUUUUUUCUCCAACGUUCUGGCUUAAAUUUUUCUUAGUAUUUUCUAAUUUCUUCUGGUUUAGAAUUACUUUGAACUAUGCUUCACUAUAGCUUCCUUCUACAAGACUCAGACAAUGCAUAAGAUUAACAAAAAUCUGCUUAUUAUAUUUUCACAUGUCCAAGGCCAAACUAAUUGCAGGUAACAAUAAAGAAACAUUGGUAUUGACUUAAAAGAGUCAUGGUUUACUCUCUGAGUCUGGGGAUAUUCUCAUUGUGUGUGAAGACCCUGGCUUUGCAAAAGAGGGAGGAUAAUGAAUUAAAUUAGAAGGGAAUAAGGUGGGAAUAGUUCUUAGGUAACUACCUGAUAGAUUUGUUUCUCAGUUGUGCAAACCAGAGAAAGAAAACCUGUGGGAUAAUUGGUAUAAGCAAAGAGCAUUAUCAUCAUCCAUCUCCCAUUCUGAUAACAAGAUGUAUUUUGCAUUGAAAAAACUAUCCUCUAGAUCUAUGCUUCUUAAAUUAGUUAUGCAAUUACAAAAGAAAGCAUGAUUCAUUGAAGUUUAGAUGAAAUCUUCUGAUUUCAUAGGAUAUUGUGAGCCAAUUAUGCUAUUGCUGUUUAUAUGUCUAUAAUAGCAAAGGAUAUGCUCUCAGGAACACAAUGUAUAUUAUAUUUAUGUAGUCAAUAUAAUUAGAACCCAGAGAACAAUUUAACCCAUAUUCAAUAGGUCUUGAUGCCUAGAAUGUGGUUUAUUUUACUCCUGCAGAAUAAAACAUAAAAAAUGUAGAGCUUCAAAUUUGUUUAACAAAGGGAGGAUGUGGUUAAUCUUAAAAAAAAAAUGUCACAUUUUCUGAAUUUUAUGAAGAGUAUUAGGCAGUGAUUAAAUAAAAGAUUGACUGACACUACUUUAUACAAAUCUAAUGCAAUUAUUCAAACCAUUCAAUAAUAUUAGAAGUAGAAUGUCCUGUUUAGAGAGCUUUAUAAACCAAGCUCAGGCCAGGUGCUUUAGCUAGCCACAUUCAAUUUUCAAUCUCUGGUUGUGCACUUAUACAAUGCAUAAGAAUUAGUUGAAAGGAUUAAUAUUUUAGAUAUUCAAUAUAGUUUUGUAAAUUGAUUUAGGUAAAGGACUGUAUAACUUUACAUUGAAUUUACUUGCAUUUUGGUGUUGUGAAAACACGUAAACAUCUCAACAUAUGUUGGUAAAAGAAAAGAUAGAAACAAUGGUUUUAUACCUGGCACUUAGAAGCCAUCACAUAUCUGAAUAAGAUAUCUGAACCCCAUUUUUAAUGAAAUUUUAGCAUGUGCUUUUGACACCUCAUGUAUUUUCCUCAGGCCCACCUCUGAUGUGAACUGCAGCUGCAUUAGAAAAAUCCCAUGUUUGCUGAUAGCAUCCCACAUCACAUGCUCAACACAUAUUUCUCUAAUUUUCUGCCUCAGGUACUUCUCAGGAUUCUGUUUAGCCCACAUGGAAAUGCAGCCUGAAAGCUUGGAGGGACAAUUUUCUGAAAUAUUCUAUGUGGGUCUCGGCUGACAAGAUGUAAAAAGCUCAACCUUGUAUUGACUCUUCUCCUGAAUCUGUCUUACUAGCCCGGUUGCUUCACUUUUUCUCCCUUAGAUUGCUUCCAUAUAAACUACCUGCUUGUUUUAAGCUCCAUUUUUUUUUCAUGAAUGCAAAGGAAUAUGAAAACUUUUUGAAACUUAUUAUAUAAUAUUAUUUAUUCUUUAAACAUUUAUUGAACACCUAUAAUGUGCUAGACCCUGUGGUAAUUCCUGGAAAUGCAAGGAGAAAAUGGUCAUUUCCUGUGAAAUCAGGUAGAAUACAGCCCAAUAGUAAAACAUGACACUAAGUGAAAUCAUAGUUUAGGGCUAUGAUAGACCCUCCAUGGUGGCACACAGGAUGAGAGUGCCUUUUUUGUAAAGUAAGGGGGAGAAUUUAGAUAUGUUGGAGACUACAUAAAAGAAAUUGAGACUUGAAUUAAUAUAAUUCUAGGGCAUGGAGCAGGAGAAGGCUAGAAAAAGAAGUCAGAGAAAAGUUAGAAUAUAAAAUAGUCUUACAUGCUUGUCCCAGGAAAUUUAAGAAAUUUUCUAAGAGUAUUACCUAGAAAGAUAAUUUGGAAAGAGAUCAUCAAAUAUCUUAUUUCUGGGUUUGAUAGAUAAAUGAGAAUAAAUAAAUUAAUCUAUUCUGUGAUCCUAAGUUAUUUUAACUAAAGACCGACAUGUAUGUUGAAUGUAUGCAUUAAAACCUGUAUACUAAGGUUUAUUACCUAAUGGAAUAAAAUGAAGAGCUCAAACACAACCUAUUUUGCAUUCUGGAUGGGUUAGGGUAGCUGAAUAAAGGACUUCAGAGCAGGCACUUUAACGACUUUGGUUUCUAUGCACUAAUAUGUCAUGUGGACAUAGCUAUUAAUACAAAAAGAAGACAAACAUAUCCUUUAUAAAAAUGUACAAAUGCUCAUCUACCUUUUUAGGCAAGAACAAUUUCCAAGGCUUGAUUGCCUUCUAGAGAAAGACGUUUUUACCUUAAUUUGACCAUAAUGUCUUGGAGAAAAGUUUCUUGAAGUUGUAUACCUAUGUGAUGGGCAUUUUAGUAUGUAUGUGUAUGUGUGUCUGUGUGUGUCCAGGAGAAGAAUGUGAAAACUGUAGACCAUGGGAAAUAUGAGAUAACAUACCUUUACCACACAAUGGUGGAGGGACCUCAAAAGGGAAUACUCUUGGCAGUCCCAUCCUCACAAACCUCGAUCACCAUGUGUUCUCAUUUCAGACUCCAAUACUCAAAACUCUGGAAGUUGUACUCCUGUGUGUUUCUGAGACAGUUUUAUUUUUCCGGAUGAAAAAAGGGUUGUCUGGCCUAUGCUAACGCCAUCUCUGUUGGUAAUGCAUGGAGUAUCCUGAUGGAUUUGGAAGUUUAAAUCAUGAAAAAUUGAGGGAGGAAGAUCAGAGCAGAGUUCAAGACCAGGAACGCUAAGGAAGGGGCGCAGCAUUGUGGGAAAGGAUGUGAGAAUCCAGCAGAAGUGCUUACUGCAGGCACGGACCACUGUGGAAAAGCAUCCAGAGAUGCUUCUGUGGUUGUCUGUCCUGGCUAAAGACUCCCAAAUAAUAUUAGAGUUUGGAGAUGAGGGUUAAUGGACUGAUGGUGAUGGAAAAGAUAGCUCAGAGAUAUUUCAAGCAGGCUGCAAGAAUCUCCCAAUUUCGUCCAUCACAAAUCCAUUGUUGAUCCUGAAUGCAGGCUUCAGCUGGCAAAGGAAAGGAAAUACAGAGUUCAAAGCAAGUUUUAUUGUUACGAUUACAUAGCAUCCUUCGGUUCUCCAAUGUGACUCUGGGAAGCUCUGUUCCCAAGCUACCAAGUGUCUGAGACUACACCUACUUGCUCAAUAGCUUAUCAUGACUAAUGACCAUGGAUGAUGUCCCUGAAGACAAGAGUUAAGACCAAAGGAAGACCUAUAACAUGGAAGAUCAUGAUCCAUCUGCACUCUUGGUGAGAGAAGCAAAGAAGUUAUCUUAGAAAGAAAAUAGUUGAAGCUACUAUCAUGUAGUAGAUGUGCACGGCUCAGUCCACAGAUACACAUUUUGGAUAUGCCACCUACAGAUGAUGUAAGUGUUGUCAAGUUUCCUUUCCUGGAUUUUAUGUUCUUCAGGAUAAGAAACAGAAGUACAUAAUUUGGCAAAAAGAAAAGUGAUUCUCCUUUUGCCUAAGAGGCAAAUGUUUUAGUGAUGUGCACAAUGAAAACACUACAAAUUCCAACUGAUAUGUGAUGCUGUUCUAAAUGUGGGAGUGACAGAGAUGGAGUUGAGAUGUUGUUGAUCACAGCAGGAAAUGUCAUCAUAAGAAUUUUGUAAAUGAAGAUUUAAUAAGUUCAUGUGGAUAAACCACUUAGAACACUGCCUUCCACAGAGCAGAUCCGAGUAUUAUUUUAGGAGAGAUGAAGUAGGAACAUGAUUGAUAAUUAACAUUGAUUGGUGAAAUUUUGUGAUCUGGAGUGAAGUUUUACGAUUCCUUCCUCCCUUCAGCCAUUUAUUUUUUGGAGACAGGGUCUCACCUUGUUGCCCAGGAUGGAGUGCAGUGGCAUGAUCUCAGCUCCCUGCAACCUCUGCCUCCCUGGCUCAAGCCAUCCUCCCACAUCAAGCUACUGAGUAGCUGAGACUACAGCUCGACUCUGAUUUGAAGAGUAGGAUGGUUAAGGACAUCAGAAAGAAUUUCACAGAGAAAAGGGUCGAAACAGAGCAUGCAAAACCACAAAGAGUCUCAGUCUUUUGCCCUCACCCAGGCAGGAGUGCAGUGGUGCAAUCUUGGCUCUCUGCAGCCUCCACCUCCUGGGCUCAAGCGAUCCUCCAAUCUCCACCUCCCGAGUAGCCAGGACUACAGCCAUGCGAAGAUGUACCUGCUUCUGCUUCAUCUUCCGCCCUGAUUGUAAGUUUCCUGAGGCCUCUCCAGAAGCAGAAAUCUGGAAAGUCUGCAGAACUGUGAGCAGAUUAAACCAUUUUUCUUUAUAAAUUACCCAGUCUCAGGUAUGUCUUUAUAGCAAUGUGAGAACUAAUACACUCAGACUGAGAAAAGUUAGUGACUUAUCUAACAAUAUAUAAUACCUCUCAAUUCAGUUUUCUUAUUAUUCUGAGGAAAUGUUUUAAACACAUGUGAGUUUGAAAGUAAAGUAAAUUAUAAUAAGUUUAGGCACAUUAUUAUAAUAAGAAAAAGUACUCAAAAGGUAAUUGCAAUAGUUUAUGAAUAUUAACAUAGUCUAAAAUGUGUACCACACAUUCACUUUCUCUAAACCUAUUAAAUGGAAUCAAGAUUCUGAAAAAAAACUGCAAGAAAACAAUUAUUUAUGUCCAGUGUUGUCUUAAAAUGUCAUUGUAAAUGGCAAGAUUAUUUAUUCCUUUUUUUGUUUUUUAUUUCAUGUUUAGUUGACCAGAUGUUAUCCACAGAUAACUUCCCAUAAGAAUUAAAUAUAGAGACAAAAGUAUUGCAUUAAAAAUAUUGUUAGUGAGAUAGAAAUCCAGGAACCGUAUGUGAGAAACCUUAAUCCUUCUCUUUAUUUCACAAGUUGGGAACAAGUUCCAGUAGUAAGUAGGCAGAUGGUGUAAUGAAUAUUUUACUAUAUAAGAAAAUCCAGAAGUUACUUUCAGCUCUAGGUCUGCCAUGUAAAAGCUUUGGGACUAUGAAUAAAUUAUUUAAUUUUUAAAUCACACUGUCCUCAUCUGCAAAAUAAAAUAUACUAGCCUAAAAUAAAAAUAAUCUAGUCUAAAUGCACUUUAAGAUCCUUUUUAGCUUUAACUUUACUUUUAUAGAAAGCUUCAGAGGGAUUUUGACAUGCAUUAAGGGAUAAUGGGAUAAUUUCACUAAAUGUGUUAGAAUGAGGAAAAUAAAAUUAGUUAUUAGUGCAUCAGGAACAUAAAGAAAUGUUGAAUGGAUUUUCCAUGGGAGACAACAAUGGCUCCAUCCAAGGUUAUAGGAAAAAAAAUAAAGUGAUAGAACAUAUCUUCGAAAGUAGCUUUUAACAUAUGUGCAGAGAAUUGACAUGGCACUAAGAUAUUUAUAUUUUAAUCUAUUAUUCUGGUAAUAUUGCACAAUAUGGGGCUUGAAUCACAUGACAUUCAAAAAUAGAUUUGGUAAAUCAUUUUGAACUUCAUUUUGAACAUGUCUGCAUGGACAUAGGAAAUGGAACGUUGUUUAAGAGGUUUAAGAGAAAAGAAGAAACAAGUUAGGGAGAGAUUCUAGGGAAAGGGGACGCAGGCAAGAGGGGUAUGUAUUCACAACAUUGUAUUACUCCCUUAUAACAGGGACUCUUGCAGACUGAGAUUACAUUUUGGAAGAGAGAGGGUUGAAAUUAAUGUUGACUUCUGGAAAUCAAGCCUUAUAUUAGGUCACAAAUGUACCAAAGAGGUACAAAUGAAGAAAUAAUAAAUGAAAUAAUUUAUAAGACAGGUUAUAUGUGUGGAGGGAAACUCUGCAUGCUGCAUAAGUAGGAGUUCUGGAAAAUGCCAACUCUUUUCUCAUGUGUUACUUUAGACAUCAUUCCUCCAUUAAGCCAUUCUGAAUCUAUCUAAGUCUGGAUUUUGUGCCCUCUGAUAGACCGGGACAAAUGUAGCCCAUAAGAACUUGUAUCAGUCACGAUUGUCUUUAUGCUUGCCUUUUCCCCCACUCAGAAGGUGCACAGGCAGGUUUUAUCUUAAGCAUUGUUGGGCAUUGCACUUAGCUCCAUUUUUGCCAUGUAGUAGGCUGACACAAUGAACUAAUGGUCUGUGGUGGCAGAAAUUAAGCUUGUUUGCAAAGAAACACAAUAUAACAAUAACAAUAAAUACAUCAAAAAAUAGAUGUGAAAACAGAAGUGAAGUGGUUAAAAGCUAGGGUUCUGAUGAGGAGGAGUGUUUCUUAUAUAAGAUGCACCUAUUACUGUGUCAUCAAGAAUCAGUAUCUUCAUGAUUUUCAGCCUUAGUUUCCAAAUUUGUAAAACGGAGACAACAACAAUGUCUAUCUCAUAGGGGAUUUUAGAAGUUGAAAUGAAAUAAUACAUGCUCAUGUAUAACCUAUGUAUAUGUAAUACAAGACUAAGUGCUCAAAAAUGUUUACCAUUUUUAUUAACCAUAACUUCUCCUAUAAAUGUCGUUAGAAUACAGAAGAACAAGGAAGGAUUUUCUCACAACAAUUAAGUGUGUUAAAAGUAAUAUAGAUUAUUUUGUAUCAGGAAGAAAUUUCAUCCAGCAUAAACACUUUUCAUUUCAAAAAGUAUGAGAUUAGAAAUUGUAUUCUUUCAAAACUGUAGUCAGACUGUAUAUUUCCAGUGCCUGGCACAUAUCUGUCAAAUAUGCAAAGCCAUUUCGUUUCAUUUUUUUUUAUUAUUAUGCUUUAACUUCUGGGAUACAAGUACAGAAUGUGCAGGUUUGUUACAUAGGUAUACAUGUGCUGUGGUGAUUUGCUGCACCCAUCAACCCGUCAUCUACAUUAGGUAUUUCUCCUAAUGCUAUCCCUCCCCCUAGCCUCCAACCCCUGACAGGCCCUGGUGUGUGAUGUUCUGCUCCCCGUAUCCAUGUGUUCUCAUUGGUCAUCUCCCACUUAUGAGUGAAAACAUAGUGUUUGGUUUUCUGUUUCUGUGUUAGUUUGCUGAGAAUAAUGGUUUCCAGCUUCAUCCAUGUCCCUGCAAAGGACAUGAACUUAUCCUUUUUUAUGGCUUCAUAGUAUUCCAUGGUGUAUAUGUGCCACAUUUUCUUUAUCCAGUCUAUCAUUGAUGGGCAUUUGUUCCCAUCAAUGGGAACAAGUCUUUGCUAUUGUAAGUAGUGCUGCAGUAAACAUAUGUGUGCAUGUGUCUUUAUAGUAGAAUGAUUUAUAAUCCUUUGGGUAUAUACCCAGUAAUGGAAUUGCUGGGUCAAAUGGUAUUUCUGGUUCUAGAUCCUUGAGGAAUCACCACACUGUCUUCUACAAUGGUUGAACUAAUUUACCCUCCCACCAACAGUAUAAAAGCAUUCCUAUUUCUCCACAUCCUCUCCAGCAUCUGUUGUUUCCUGACUUUUUAAUGAUUGCCAUUCUAACUGGCGUGAGUUGGCAUCUCAUUGUGGUUUUGAUUUGCAUUUCUCUAAUGACCAGUGAUGAUGAGUUUUUUUUUCAUAUGUUUGUUGGCUGCCUAAAUGUCUUCUUUUGAGAAGUGUCUGUUCAUGUCCUUCAUGAACCCCACUUUUCGAUGGGGUUGUUUUUUUCUUGUAAAUUUGUUUAAGUUCCUUGUAGAUUCUGGAUAUUAGCCCUUUGUCAGAAGGAUAGAUUGCAAAAAUUUUCUCCCAUUCUGUACUUCAUUUCUAUAUAACAACUUGGAAUCACAGUUCUAUGCACUAGAAAGGAGAUUUCCAUUUUUUUCUUAACCAAUGAAACUUCAUAUCCUCUUUGGGAAGUAGGUCAUUUAAUGAGUCAUUGGUGGAAAGAAAAUCUACUUUAAAAACACAAUACUUUCUCUUUUGUUUCACAGAUACAAGUUUCUACAAGAUGCAUUUCCCUUUACAGUUAUGAUAGUUCUCUUUAGAAUCUAAAGGUUAACUCCAGCUUGUGUGUGUAUGGUGCAUGUGCUGUGAAUGUUGUAAGAAAGCCAAUUCAAAGAGAUUAUGUAAUUUAGAAGAUAGAUGCUUUGAUUUUUUUUUCUUUUCUAAGAACCAGGGUGCUGCCUUUUCUAAUACAAGGUUGGGAAAUAGUUCUGUAGCUAGAUGGGGAUAUAUUAAUAUAUACUCACAGGGCACAUAAUGACAGUGCAAAAAUAUGCUUUCAUCAAGAACAUAAAAGAUGGAACAGAAGUAAUAUUUAACAACAGGUAGAGAUUGGUUACCAUGGCAUCUAUUACAGUGAAAGUGUCUAAAAAGCACAAUCUGUUGCUCUAUUUAAUAUAGUAAGUAUAUAUUUUUGCGUUUGUGAAGUUUUGAGAUCUAGUCUAAUGCUUUUAAUAUAUGUGAUGCUUCUAUAUGCCUUAGGAAUGACUACUAUUUCAAAAAGAAAAGGUUCCAUCUAGAACAAUAACUCAAAUAUAAUGAAUAAGUUAAUGUGUAUAUAGUAUGGAAAACCAUUCCAAAUGAUUCUGAUUGCCACUCCCAGGGGAUUAUGACUUCCUCUCACUCCCUUUAAAAUUCAAUAUGCUUUUUGGCAAUAUUUCUAGUUGUUCAUACAGCAACGAGCCUCCCGCUUUUCUUCCAUAUGUGAAUUCCAUCUAAACGAUUACAUUUUAAAAAAAUCUUUUAUAGUUACGCAUGGCCAUAUAAUACAUAUAUUUAGUGAAUGACUUUUAUCAAAGUCUGGUAGGUAUUUUUGAGAAAGUUUUGCUUUCUUGAAUUUGGUCCCAUACUUCUUUCUUCUUCUCUUGUCUGGAAUUCAAUAUGAGGCUGAAAUGGGAAUUAUCAUCUUAUAACCAUUGAGACAAAAGUCACAUGAUAAGAGUAACUUCUGUGAGGCCAGGAGUCUGGUUCUUCAGAUUUCCUCAAGUGCCCGAAUCUGUGUGGGAAUGCCCUACCUGGUGAUUUCUUAUUACUCAAAAGACAUAAAUUGGUUUCUGACCACAGUAGAGGAUUUCAAAUUCAUAUAGAUGAACACCAACUUAACCGUUACAUAAUUAACUGUUGUGUAUGGAUAGUUAUGGAGACUUAGUCCUGAAGUGUUUUUUAUUAGGAUUAUAUGAUCUAUAUACUAAUGACUCCUGUAUUUAUAUCUCCAUCUUGAAACUUCUGCCUAUUUGUCUUGGUCAUGUAAUUGUCUGGAGUACUACAAAAUUAACAAGCCCAACACAGAACCUCAAAGUACCACUUACUCACCAGCAGAAGCUGCUCAUCUAGCAGUAUUCCUCAUUUCUAGCUACAGACUCUUCUGUUCAGGUUGUUUCCCAGGCCCAAAACCUUGGGAUCAUCCUCAUUUACUCAAAACUCAUAUGUAUCAACUCAAAAGCAACUGAUUUUGUCUCUAAAAUGUAUUAUGGUAUAACCAUUUUUCACUAGUUUUAUUGCUAUUAAAUUAAUUCAAACCACUGUUGCACGUUUCAUGAGUUCUCCUAACUGGUCUUCCUACUUUCAAUCUGUCUCUCCUUCCAUGUAUUGCAACAGAACAUCAAAAGGAAUCCUAUUAAAGAGUGAGUCAAGUAGUGUCAUUUGUCUGCUCAAAACCAUCUCAUUCACAAAGCCAAAAAUAUAUGCUCACAAAGCAUGCAAAAUUUGUCCUCCAGUCAUCUCUCCUAAUACUCUCCACCUCUCUCACUCUAUUACAGAGAUUUUUUGGUGUGUACUUUUAAAUGAUUAAAGAAUUCUGUCACUCAUACUCUCUUGAAUUUUCAAGUGUAUCCUCAUUUCAAUUAUCUCAGUCUUUCUCAGUCAAGGUAGUAAUUUUGUAGGCCCUAAAAUUAACUAAUAUUAUACUAUGACAAACGUUUUGAUAAUCAGAUUUCCUUUUGUUUUCAUCAAUCUCAGCUUCAUACUAUGAGGCUUAGGAGACCUUUUCAGCAUGUUUAUUGACUUCUUAUCUGUGCCCUUAGGGACAUCCAUUCUCAACUUCAGGUUAUUCACCACUGCCUGCUACAAGUUGCUACCUUAUCUUGUGGUCCUUUGAUUCCAAAUAUUCAAUUUUUCACUAUUGUGCUUUGUCCUAUUAAUUUUCAUUCUAGAAAAUAAAUGAAACAAUGAAACAUUCUUUCACUUGCACUAGAACAGAUAAUUGCAAAUAUGGCACAUUUUUCUCAGUCUGUUGCCUAUAUCCCAUUAUUUUACACUCAUUUCUGAUUCAUUUAAGGUUAUUUGGUUGCAUUUUUAAGCUGACUUUGGCUAACAUUUUGGGGAAAAAAGGAAGAUAUUUGAAUUCUAUUUGAAUUCUAAAAAAAUUAAUCAAUAACCAUAAAACCAGAGGCAAGAACAAAAACUAAGUGGAGAGAACAAUAGAACAUUCAAAAAAUCCUGUGAUACAAACCCACAGCCAAUAUUAUAUUAAAUGGGCAAAAGUUGGAAGCAUUCCCGUUGAAACCCUACAAAAGGCAAGGAUGCCCUCUCUCACCAUUCCUAUUCAACAUAGUAUUGUAAGUCCUAGCCAGAGCAAACAGGCAAGAGAAAGAAAUAAAGGGCAAAUGGGAAGAGAGGAAGUCAAAAUAUCUUUGUUUGCAGAAAAGAAGAUUCUAUAGAUAUUAAUAGAAAACCACAUACUCUUGGCCCUUCAGCUCCAUCAGCUGAUAAACAACCUCAGCAAGGUUUCAGGAUACAAUAUCAAUGUACAAAAAUCACUAGCAUUCCUAUACACCAGCAACAGCCAAGCCAAGAGCCAAAUCAGAAAGGCAAUCCCAUUCACAAUUGCCACACACACAAAAAUAAAAUACCUAGGAAUAUAGCUAACCAGGGAGAUGAAAGAUGUCUACAAUGAAAAUUACAAAACACUGCUCAAAGAAAUCAUGGAAGAAACAAACAAAUCGAAAAACAUUCCAUGCUCAUGGAUAGGAAGAAUCAAAAUCAUUAAAAUGGACAUACUUCCCAAAGCAUUUUACAGAUUUAGUGCUACUACUAUCAAACUGCUAAUGACAUUGUUCACAGAACUAGAAAAAAAACUAUUUUAAGAUGCAUAUGGAACCAAAAAAGAGCCUGAAUAGCCCAGGCAAUCCUAAGCAAAAAGAACAAAGCUAGAGGCUUUGUUACCUGUAGAAGGAAACAACAGACACUGGGGCAUACUUGAGGGUGGAGGGUGGUAGGAGGGAGGAGCAAAAAAGAUAACUAUUGGGUACUGGGCUUAAUUCCUGGGUGAUGAAAUAAUCUGUACAACAAAUCCCCAUGACACAAGUUUACCUUCACAUUUACCCUCAACCUUAAAAUAAAAGUUAAAAACAAACAAACAAACAAAAACCAGCAAAAUUUUGUCAUAGUAGAAACAAGCUUGUUAGGGCUCCAACCUUAUGAAAAGAAAUCUAAACAUUAGUUAGUAUGUGAAUUGCUUAAUAUUCAAAGACCCGAGAGAGCAUUUAAUUGGCUGACACUAGCUAUCUGAUUGACUUCUGGCUCUGUUCUAAGUGAAAGAAAAGAUCUAUCUGGUUCUUUGGCAUCUAUAGUGGAAAAAUUUACCAUCCCAUACAAAUGGAGGUGAGGAUUACACCAAAGGAAAUCCACCUGCUCUUUAGAUGGGAUAGAAUGAAAAAUGAGUGACCAAGAAAUAUCAAAGAUCUAACACAGAGAUCCUAUCCAAUAUUUGUUCCCCAAAUGGCAGAUGUCUACUAUGAAAAAUUAUUAUUUUAAUUUGCUGGUUGAGAGUUUCCUUGUCAAUGUUUUUUUUUUUAAUUAUACUUUAAGUUUUAGGGUACAUGUGCACAUUGUGCAGGUUAGUUACAUAUGUAUACAUGUGCCAUGCUGGUGCACUGCACCCACUAACUCGUCGUCUAGCAUUAGGUAUAUCUCCCGAUGCUAUCCCUCCCCCUCCCCCCACCCCACAACAGUCCCCAGAGUGUGAUAUUCCCCUUCCUGUGUCCAUGUGAUCUCAUUGUUCAAUUCCCACCUAUGAGUGAGAAUAUGCGGUGUUUGGUUUUUUGUUCUUGUGAUAGUUUACUGAGAAUGAUGAUUUCCAAUUUCAUUCAUGUCCCUACAAAGGACCUGAACUCAUCAUUUUUUAUGGCUGCAUAGUAUUCCAUGGUGUAUAUGUGCCACAUUUUCUUAAUCCAGUCUAUCAUUGUUGGACAUUUGGGUUGGUUCCAAGUCUUUGCUAUUGUGAAUAAUGUCGCAAUAAACAUAUGUGUGCAUGUGUCUUUAUAGCAGCAUGAUUUAUAGUCCUUUGGGUAUAUACCCAAUAAUGGGAUGGCUGGGUCAAAUGGUAUUUCCAGUUCUAGAUCCCUGAGGAAUCGCCACACUGACUUCCACAAUGGUUGAACUAGUUUACAGUCCCACCAACAGUGUAAAAGUGUUCCUAUUUCUCCACAUCCUCUCCAUCACCUGUGUUUCCUGACUUUUUAAUGAUUGCCAUUGUAACUGGUGUGAGAUGGUAUCUCAUUGCGGUUUUGAUUUGCAUUUCUCUAAUGGCCAGUGAUGAUGAGCAUUUUUUCAUGUGUUUUUUGGCUGCAUAAAUGUCUUCUUUUGAGAAGUGUCUGUUCAUGUCCUUCGCCCACUUUUUGAUGGGGUUGUUUGUUUUUUUCUUGUAAAUGUGUUUGAGUUCAUUGUAGAUUCUGGAUAUUAGCCCUUUGUCAGAUGAGUAGAUUGCAAAAAUUUUCUCCCAUUUUGUAGGUUGCCUGUUCACUCUGAUGGUAGUUUCUUUUGCUGUGCAGAAGCUCUUUAGUUUAAUUAGAUCCCAUUUGUCAAUUUUGUCUUCUGUUGCCAUUGCUUUUGGUGUUUUAGACAUGAAGUCCUUGCCCAUGCCUAUGUCCUGAAUGGUAAUGCCUAGGUUUUCUUCUAGGGUUUUUAUGGUUUUAGGUCUAACGUUUAAGUCUUUAAUCCAUCUUGAAUUGAUUUUUGUAUAAGGUGUAAGGAAGGGAUCCAGUUUCAGCUUUCUACAUAUGGCUAGCCAGUUUUCCCAGCACCAUUUAUUAAAUAGGGAAUCCUUUCCCCAUUGCUUGUUUUUCUCAGGUUUGUCAAAGAUCAGAUAGUUGUAGAUAUGCGGCGUUAUUUCUGAGGGCUCUGUUCUGUUCCAUUGAUCUAUAUCUCUGUUUUGGUACCAGUACCAUGCUGUUUUGGUUAUGUAGCCUUGUAGUAUAGUUUGAAGUCAGGUAGUGUGAUGCCUCCAGCUUUGUUCUUUUGGCUUAGGAUUGACUUGGCAUUGCGAGCUCUUUUUUGGUUCCAUAUGAACUUUAAAGUAGUUUUUUCCAAUUCUGUGAAGAAAGUCACUGGUAGCUUGAUGGGGAUGGCAUUGAAUCUGUAAAUUACCUUGGGCAGUAUGGCCAUUUUCACGAUAUUGAUUCUUCCUACCCAUGAGCAUGGAAUGUUCUUCCAUUUGUUUGUAUCCUCUUUUAUUUCCUUGAGCAGUGGUUUGUAGUUCUCCUUGAAGAGGUCCUUCACAUCCCUUGUAAGUUGGAUUCCUAGUUAUUUUAUUCUCUUUGAAGCAAUUGUGAAUGGGAGUUCACUCAUGAUUUGGCUCUCUGUUUGUCUGUUAUUGGUGUAUAAGAAUGCCUGUGAUUUUUGUACAUUGAUUUACUUCUUAGUACUUGAAAUUGUACCUACAGGAAAAUAAACAGAUUUCUUUUUACAGAGACUGAAAGAAGAAAAGGUCAAAGCAAACUGGACUAAAAGAUCUGUAACAUUUAAGAAAAUUAUUCUCAUAGUGAAGAUUAUAAAGCCUGUAAAAGAGCCAUUUAAAGACUUUAAAGACAUGCCAGGGUAUUAUGAUGUGUGUUACUAUCUCCAAUUAGAGAAAGUACUUAAUAUGAAACAAUUAGAUGAUGAAAUUAUAUCUCAUACUGAUUAAUGGAAUGAUUGCUAAGUACUUAUAGGUUUAUAUGUUAUUCUGUUAUAGUUUCACUUUUUUCCUUUCUUUUUUUUAAAAUUAGUCUGCUGAAUUUCCAUAAGGUGAAAAUAAAUAAGACAACCCUGAUUACAUUUUCAGUUUUGAAAUGCCAGUUAAAAAAAAAAAAAAAAAAGCCCAUGACCAAUCAUAUCAUUAGUUUUAAAACAGGAAUUGGACUAGUCUAGAUAAAAGCUGCUGACUAGUACAAAGGGAAGAAGAGGCAUUGAUAGAUUUAAAUGUUAAUAGGAUCUAUAAUCAUACUAAAUCUUGGUUAUUUUUACUGUUGAGGAAUUUGAGGAGAGACUUUAAAGGCUGGUGGGGAUUAAGAUACCUGUAGCCAAACUUAGUGAAUCUUCUUUUUCUCAGCACCUUUACCUUAUUAUAAACAAAUAUCAGGAAUAAAAGAUGAAGUUAUAUAAAACAAACAAAAUAUUUUCCUUUGUUAACUUUCACCAGACAGGAAAGUAUAGAAAAUAUUUGUCUGAGAGCAUAAUUGAUGAAAUUACAAUGUUUUAAAAUACCAUAAUGGUUCUUUCUUAUCUUCUUAUGAAACUUUAAUAUUUUCAAGU